rnacentral:rRNA from 1 species
GACGAACGCUGGCGGCGUGCUUAACACAUGCAAGUCGAACGGACAGGCCCUGCUUUUGUGGGGUUCUCGAGAGGCGCACGGGUGAGUGACACGUGUGUAAACUGCCCUUGACUUUGGGAUAACAUCAGGAAAAUGGGGCUCUUACCCCAGAGGAGCUCCUGCUGCAUGGUGGGGGUUGGAGAGUUUCGGCGGUUGGGGAUAGUCUCGCGGCUUAUGCGCUUGAUGGGCGAGUAGUGGCUUACCAAGCCUGCGACGGGUAGGCGGCAUGAGAGGGUGAACGGCCACACUGGGACUGAGAGACGGCCCAGACUGCUACGGUAGGCAGCAGUGGGGAAUAUUGCACAAUGGGCGGAAGCGUGAUGCAGCAACGCCGCGAGCGGGAUGACGGGCUUCUGGGUGUAAACCGCUUUCGCCGGUGACGAAGCGUGAGUGACGGUAAUGGGUAAAGAAGCACCGGCUAACUACGUG